CAGGGGGGCCCCGCACAAGCGGCGGAGCAUGCGGAUUAAUUCGAUGCAACGCGAAGAACCUUACCAAGGCUUGACAUAUACGAGAACGGGCUAGAAAUAGUCAACUCUUUGGACACUCGUAAACAGGUGGUGCAUGGUUGUCGUCAGCUCGUGUCGUGAGAUGUUGGGUUAAGUCCCGCAACGAGCGCAACCCUCGUUCUAUGUUGCCAGCACGUAAUGGUGGGAACUCAUAGGAGACUGCCGGGGUCAACUCGGAGGAAGGUGGGGAUGACGUCAAAUCAUCAUGCCCCUUAUGUCUUGGGCUUCACGCAUGCUACAAUGGCCGGUACAAAGGGCUGCAAUACCGCAAGGUGGAGCGAAUCCCAAAAAGCCGGUCUCAGUUCGGAUUGAGGUCUGCAACUCGACCUCAUGAAGUCGGAGUCGCUAGUAAUCGCAGAUCAGCAACGCUGCGGUGAAUACGUUCCCGGGCCUUGUACCCCCGCCCCGGUAAA
rnacentral:rRNA from 1 species